GACGAACGCUGGCGGCGUGCUUAACACAUGCAAGUCGAACGGAAAGGCCAGCUUUCCCUUGUGGAUUGCGGGUACUCGAGUGGCGAACGGGUGAGUAACACGUGAGUGAUCUGCCCCCAACUUGGGUAUAAGCCUGGGAAACUGGGUCUAAUUCCCGAUAGGACUGCAGGGUGGUGCCUGUGGUGGAAAACGAUUUUCUAGUGGUUGGGGAUGAGCUCGCGGCCUAUCAGCUUGUUGGUGGGGUAAUGGCCUACCAAGGCGGCGACGGGUAGCCGGCCUGAGAGGGUGGACGGCCACAUUGGGACUGAGAUACGGCCCAGACUCCUACGGGAGGCAGCAGUGGGGAAUAUUGCACAAUGGGCGGAAGCCUGAUGCAGCGACGCCGCGUGGGGGAUGACGGCCUUCGGGUUGUAAACUCCUUUCGACCGCGAGGAAGCCACCUGGUUGGAAGGGUGGUGACGGUAGUGGUAGAAGAAGCACCGGCUAACUACGUG
rnacentral:rRNA from 1 species